rnacentral:rRNA from 1 species
UACGUAGGGGGCGAGCGUUGUCCGGAUUCAUUGGGCGUAAAGCGCGCGCAGGCGGUGGCGUGAGCCCGGCGUGAAAGCCCCCAGCUCAACUGGGGGGAGGCCGUCGGAGACCGCGGCACUUGAGGCCGGUAGGGGAGAGCGGAAUUCCCGGUGUAGUGGUGGAAUGCGUAGAUAUCGGGAGGAACACCAGUGGCGGAAGGCGGCUCUCUGGACCGGUUCUGACGCUCAUGCACGAAAGCGUGGGGAGCAAACAGG